rnacentral:rRNA from 1 species
UCUGUGGCCACAACCACCCUGACCACGCCCUGCCUCAUCUUUUCUUGGAAGCUAAGCAGGGUCGGGUCUGGAUAGUACUUGGAUGGAAGACAGAUCUUUAAAAGAGACUGCUCAGAGAC